rnacentral:misc_RNA from 1 species
GUAAAAUCUGAAAAUGAAUUUCCCUCCGAAGAGGCCGCACAGCAUAGGUUACAGUAGUUGAAAGAAAAUGGCGAGAAGAACAAGGGAAAGGACUCCAAUAAACUGAUGAAUUGAACCAUAAAAUUAUUUAAUAUUAAUGCUUUGUAGGUGCUUUUGGCUUCUCCACUAACCAAAAUUUCUAUUUCUAUUUCCAUUUUGAUUUGAUUCCAAUACAAAACCCUCCUUUUUGGUCUCUCGAAUCUUCUUAGCUUCUCCUUUUCACUCACCUACACCCGUCCUGUUUGAGAUGAUGAUUAUGUAGACAUACCAGCGGUUCAAUUUCUGAGGAGAUACAGUGGUUUGGUUUAGAUUUAGGCGAGAAAAUGGACAAGAGUAAGAAGAAAGAAGUAAUUCGAUUGGAAAGGGAAUCUGUAAUUCCAAUUCUCAAGCCUAAGCUCAUCAUGACAUUGGCCAACCUCAUUGAACAUAGUUCUGACCGGGCUGAGUUUCUAAAGCUCUGCAAGAGAGUUGAGUACACAAUUCGAGCUUGGUAUCUUCUGCAGUUUGAAGAUUUGAUGCAACUAUAUUCCCUGUUUGACCCAGUAACUGGGGCUCAGAAAUUGGAGCAGCAGAAACUAUCUCCUGAAGAAAUUGAUGUGCUUGAACAGAAUUUCCUAACAUACUUAUUUCAGGUGAUGGAUAAAAGCAACUUCAAGAUAGCAACUAAUGAGGAGAUUGAUGUUGCACUCUCAGGGCAGUAUCUUUUAAACCUUCCCAUCAAAGUAGAUGAAUCCAAGCUUGACAAGGAGCUUUUGAAGAAGUAUUUUGCUGAGCAUCCUCAUGAAAAUCUUCCUGACUUUGCUGAUAAGUAUGUUAUCUUUCGACGUGGGAUUGGGAUUGAUCAGACAACUGAUUACUUUGUUAUGGAGAAAGUGGACAUGCUCAUUGCACGCUUUUGGGCAUUUAUUCUAAGAGUGACUCGGAUAGAAAAAUUUUUGCAUAGAAGAUCAAGUGGAAGGCGUAAAAGAGAUCCAAAAAAGGAUGAUGAAAUUGACUCUGAAGCAGCUCAGGAUGACUUAUGUGUUGAACGUAUUCGUCUGGAGAAUAUGGAACUAAGUUUUAGGAAUUUGCUAAGCAGUACUACAAUCCAAGAACCUACAUUUGAUAGGAUAAUUGUAGUUUACAGGUAUUGCUUAUAUCCAUUUAUUUUUUAACUAUUGCUUUCUAAAUAAUGUCAUUGUGAACAUGUUUUGCAUGGUCAUAUAACAAUUUGUUGGUGAUUCUUAGCACAAGGCAAUAUUAUUUGAUUGUUGAACUCUAUUAACAUGAUGCAUGUAACUGCCAGUAUUUUGAUUCGGAGGAAUUGGUACUUUUCACAUCAGGAAGUUGAGGGAUCUUUUGCAUGUUAGACAAAGCUAUUUUGGUGAUACUCUCAUGAGUUAUGGGAUUUUUUUUUUUUAAAUUCUUUUAUAAAAAGGGGAAAUGAUCUGAUCAUAAUUUUACUGAUACAAGAAGAAUGAUGAUUUUCCAGGCGAGUGAGUACCAAAUCAAAAACAGAACGAGGAAUAUAUGUGAAGCAUUUCAAAAAUAUUCCAAUGGCCGAUAUGGAAAUAGUUCUUCCUGAA